UUUUAAUGUAUCGCUAAUGUGUUCACUGAAGCUUUUUAUCGCCAUUCUGGCUGCCGGCCAUUGAUUAAUGCAAUACAAACGUAUGUAUGGUUUCUGAGUAAGAGUAAUAGCAAUACAAACGAUGGUGACGGCCACCAUUUUCAAAAAGUUAUCAUCCACAUCAUCAUGGUUAUAUAACUUGUUGAGUCUAGACGAAAAAACGGCAUACCACUUGUUCAAAUGUUGAUUCGUUCUAUUUAUCCGAUUGCCUAGCGUUUGAUUUCUAUUGAUAUGAUGAUGAUCAAUCUGCUUAUCGAUGAAUUAAACAAGAACAUUAGGAAAACAUUAAAUGGAUGGAUGCGACUGUAGAUCAUACCUACCCGACCUUACCUCUCCAAGUUAAUAAUAAAUGAGGAAAAUUUGUAUGUAAUAAAAAACUAACAAACUGACAAAAAUUAACUUGUCGAUGGUGAUGUGUAAAAUAAAGAAACUUGUUUCAAAUUCAA